UAAAGCCUGGAGGCGGCGCCGCCUCUCCCGGCUGAGCUCUGGCCCGGCGCCCGCAGGAUGGCGGGCGCUUCCCCACGCGUGCACUACCUGUCGGACUUCUGCUGCCCGCUCGGAGGCCGGGCGGGGGGGAAGCCGCGUGUGCUGCGUCACGAGGCGGAGGUCUUUCUGUCCACGGGGCGCGAGUUCGUCUAUGUGUACGACCAGGAGGGCGGGAUGCUGACGGCGGUGUUCCAGUUUCCCGACCAGGUGUGGCACCUGCAGCUCCUGGCCACCCGCAGGGCGCUCUACGUCCUGUGCGCCCGGACUGGCAUCUACUGUCUGUCGCUGGACUCGCAGAGCAGGUCUGUGACCCAGGCCUGUGAGGACGAAGAGGAUGAGGCUCGCCCUUUCCCCGUGAUCCGUGUGGACCCGGACGCCUGUGUCCUCCCCAACGCCGCGCUCUGUGCCUUCAGUGUGCUGGAUGACAUGCUGGUCACCCUGGUCCAGGGCCCCACCCAGUGGAAGAUGCAGCUGUUCGAGCGUCCCUGCCCAGGGGAGGAGCCUCGGCCUGGAAGCCAGCUCGGUGAGGUGGAGUUGUCCACCUGCACCCCUCCAGGUGGGGUGCCCGAGAAGCCUGCAGCCCCCAGCUUCCUGCCAGUGCUGUGCUGCGUGUUCCCACCAGACUCCAGGGCGCCUCAUGGUCACCCCGAGGGCUGCGGCUGCUUCAUGCUAGAGGAGGCCCUCUUUGGUCUCCUCUUCGGAGCUGACGCCACCCUCUUGCAGUCCCCCGUGAUCCUCUGCGGUCUCCCUGAUGGCCAGCUUUGCUGUGUGGUCCUGAAGGCCUUGGUUACUUGCGAGUUAGCUCCCGGUGACCCUAAGGUCCUGGUCAAGAUCCUCCAUCACCUGGAGGAGCCUGUGGUCUUCAUCGGGGCUUUAAGGGCAGAGCCGCAUGCUGAGGAAGAGGCAAGAGAGCUGCUGUCUGACGAGAACGUGCAUUCUGACUGCCUUGUAGCCCUUGGCCACCAAGGCCGGACACUGGCCAUCAAGGCCAGCUGGAGCGAGUUGGGGAAUCUGGUGCCAGAGCUUCGCGAGUACAGCCUCCCGGGGCCUGUGCUCUGUGCCGCCUGUGGCAGGAAUGGCCGCAUGUACCACAGCACCCCCUCAAACCUCUGUGUGGUCGACGUGGCUCGGAGAGACACUCCUUGGAACCUCGAGAAGCCAGACGGGGCCAUAGGAGGUCUGCCUUCCAUGCUGUGCCCGGCCAGCUUGAACAUCUGCAGCGUUGUUGCCCUCUGUGUGUCUACAAGGGCAUCUACAGGUAGCACCGAGCUCCUGGCCCUGUCUUCUAAAGGGCGCCUGAUCUCCUGCGUCUUGGACUUGAACUCUGAGGUGCCUGUGCCUGCCAAAAUGGCUGUGGCAAAUGCAGGCCAGAAAAUUAAGGAGCUGCUCUUGGACAUCGGUGAUGUCUCCGAGAGAGUGUCCUUCCUGAAGAAGGCUGUUGACCAACGCAACAAGGCCAUAACAAGUCUCAACGAGGCCAUGAAUGUGAGCUGUGCCCUGCUGUCCAGCCAGGAUGGCGCCCGGCCCAUCUCGUGCACCAUCGCUACCUCCUGGAGCCGCCUGGAGCUGCGAGACAUGCUGAUGGCCACCUGUACACUGGAGAAUAGCAGCAGCUUCAGCCUGGACCAGGGCUGGACCCUGUGUAUCCAGGUGCUUACUAGUUCCUCCGCCUUAGACCUGGAUGGGGCUGGUUCAGCUUUUACCUACACCAUUCCAGUGGACAGACUUGGCCCGGGCAGUCGGCGGGAAGUGACGCUGCCCCUGGGUCCUAGCGAGAGUGGCAUGCUCGACCUGCCAGUGACCAUGUCCUGCUGGCUCUACUAUAGCCUCAAGGAGGUGGUGGGUGGGGCCCUGGCCCCCUCCCACCCUCUAGAGGUCCCCUAUCUGGAGAAGCUCCCUCUCAACCUUCCUAAGCAAGAGGGUGUCUGCCUGCCCCUGUGCAAGCGCACGGUGGACAUGCUGCAGUGUCUGCGCUUCCCUGGCGUGGCCUCACAACCCGCGCAGGUGCCCUGUGUGCCUGGCUCUGCCUGUGAGCCUGUGGAAACCUUCCUGAAGGCCUGCCAAGCCCCCGGCAGUGAGCCAACUGGUGCUGCCUCCCUCCGGGCCAAGUACCUGCCUCCGUCUACAGCGUCCAUCAGGGUGUCCGCGGUGCUUCUCAGAACUGCCCUGGAAGACGGUCACUCAGGUUUCCACCUGUGCAGUGCUACGCUGCAGUGGCUCCUUGCCGAGAAUGCUGCCGCAGCUGUCGUGAGGGCCCAGACCCUGUCCUCCAUCCAGGGCGUAGCCCCAGAUGGUACUGAUGUCAACCUCAUCGUCCGUGAGGUAGCUGUGACUGAUUUGAGCCCCGCAGGGCCCAUCCAGGCCGUGGAGAUCCAAGUGGAGAGCUCCUCUCUGGCCAACAUGUGCAGGGCACAUCAUGCCAUCGUCAGACGCAUGCAGACUAUGGUCACAGAACAAGCUGCCCAAGGCUCCAGCCCACCUGACCUCCGAAUGCAGUAUCUACACCAGAUCCACGCCAACCACCAGGAGCUGCUGCGCGAGGUGCAGACCCUGCGUGACCAGCUGUGCACGGAGGAUGAGGUCAGCUCCUACAGCAUAGCCCAGAAGCUGCUGCAGGUUUACAGGCAGCUCCGCAACCCUAGCCUUGUCCUGUUGUGACCAGCUGCUGGCCAGCUUCUCCUCCUGCGGGACACACUUCAGGCUGAGUUCUGGGGCUUGUUGGGCUGCACCCCUGUACUGGAACCUCUGCACCUCCGAUGGGAAGGAUCGGUGCCCAAAUACUUGGGCCAUGGAGACACAGGGUUACUGGAGUUCAGACUUGAAGGACAGAGUCCUCCAUGGAGAUGGAAUGGCCUCUCUUGACACCGCCCGGAGUCUGUACAAGUCUUUUGUAACAAGGUGCUCACCGCCAGGGUUGCCGGCUUACCUCACCUGCUGGCCUGCUAAGAGUCCUGUCCGUAGCUGGUUCCUCAGUCUACCUACCCUUGCCACCUCCUGCGUGGGAGCCUCUAGCUGCCUCGUAGCGUGCAUGAGUGUCUGCUCUGAGCCAGUUAGAGAGUCCGGCUCAGCCCACAGGAUGGACGGCGUGCCUGGGAGCAGAGAGGGUCUCCCAGGCUGAGCUGGCUUCUGUCUGUCACAGCUGACUUUUCUGGUGUCCCCUACUUGCUGUUAUAGUCCACAGAAAUUGCCAGGUUUGUCUUUAGCCUAAACUCCAGCAGGUUGGGAGCUGAGGCACGUGUCCUCAGGGAUUGCUGGUGAUGUCACCUCAU